rnacentral:lncRNA from 1 species
CCUAGCUUCAAACCCUCUUUUCCAAACCAACCAUCUAUCUUCCCAAAAUCUUUGCUUUUCCUUAAAAUCCCUUCCACUCUACCCCUCAUCAAAUCUCCCAGGCUGUUCGCAAGUCUCUCCUGUCCAAAAUGGCUCCCAAAUCAAAGCUACCACAGAGAAGAAAAUCUGUUUGAGGAUUAGAGGAAGAUAUGCGCAGAAAAAGAAUGACAGCCGAGCCCUCUUCUGCUCUAGCUCCAGUUUCAGAUCCGAC